rnacentral:rRNA from 1 species
GACGGAGGGUGCAACCGUUGUUCGGAAUCACUGGGCGUAAAGGGCGCGUAGGCGGACUUGUAAGUCGGGAGUGAAAACUCGGGGCUCAACCCCGAGCCUGCUUCCGAAACUGCGAGUCUUGAGGACCGGAGAGGAAAGUGGAAUUCCUAGUGUAGCGGUGGAAUGCGUAGAUAUUAGGAAGAACACCAGUGGCGAAGGCGACUUUCUGGACGGUUCCUGACGCUGAGGCGCGAAAGCUAGGGGAGCAAACAGG